GCGCCCGUAGCUCAGCUGGAUAGAGCACAUGCCUUCUAAGCCUGUGGUCGUUGGUUCGAAUCCAACCGGGCGCG
rfam:Sphingomonas sp. Root241 contig_1, whole genome shotgun sequence.